AACAAACGCUGGCGGCGUGCCUAACACAUGCAAGUCGUACGAGAAAGUCGGCUUCGGCCGAUGAGUACAGUGGCGCACGGGUGAGUAGCGCGUGGGUAAUCUGCCCCCGGUCAGGAAUAACCCGCCGAAAGGCGGGCUAAUACCCGAUAACACUGACGCUCCGCGGAGCGUCUUUCAAAGGAGGCCUCUGUUUACAAGCUUUCGCCGGAGGAUGAGCCCGCGUACCAUUAGCUAGUUGGCAGGGUAAUGGCCUACCAAGGCUGCGAUGGUUAGCUGGUCUGAGAGGAUGGCCAGCCACACUGGAACUGAGACACGGUCCAGACUCCUACGGGAGGCAGCAGUGAGGAAUAUUGCGCAAUGGGGGCAACCCUGACGCAGCAACGCCGCGUGAGUGAGGAAGGUUUUCGGACCGUAAAGCUCUGUCGAGCGGGAAGAAAUGUAUCAUGGCUAAUAUCCAUGAUACUUGACGGUACCGCUAAAGGAAGCACCGGCUAACUCCGUG
rnacentral:rRNA from 1 species